rnacentral:lncRNA from 1 species
UGUGCUUUGGGAGAACUGAAUUUCCUAACGGUUUUAACAAACGCGAUAACGAAAGUGAGACCAGCAUAACCAAGAGAACGGCGAGAAUCCACGGCAACGAAGUGGGACCCACUCUCGGAUCGGGAAUCGCUUGGGUAACAGAACGGUGAACUCAACGAGGUCGAGAGCUUUUUCUUGAAUCCACGGAAGUUCCUCUUCUACUUCAACCUCAACAACUUCAUCUUGUCUAGAUUGUUUGGGUUAUUGUUACUGGAAGGGUUUUUCGAUGAUGACGCUGAAGCAACGGUUGAGAUUGAAGUAGGUGAUGAUAAGAGUGGUUUUGGGUGGAGUGUAGGGAAAAAGAAGGGUUGAGAUUGAAAAGGGGUUAGGGAUGGGUUUUUGUUUGGGAGAGAGAGAAAGAUGGAAGUGAGAGAAGAAGUGAAAGCCAUUGGAAU